AAGCGAACGCGGUGAACUGAAACAUCUAAGUAACCGCAGGAAAAGAAAUCAACCGAGAUUCCCAGAGUAGUGGCGAGCGAAAUGGGAGCAGCCUGUACUCUUUAUCUUCAUUGUUAGUCGAACGCUCUGGAAAGUGCGGCCAUAGCAGGUGAUAGCCCUGUAGACGAAAACAGCGAGGAAGAACUAGGUGUACGACAAGUAGGGCGGGACACGUGAAAUCCUGUCUGAAGAUGGGGGGACCAUCCUCCAAGGCUAAAUACUCGUGAUCGACCGAUAGUGAAC
rnacentral:rRNA from 1 species